rnacentral:rRNA from 1 species
ACACGUGAGUACCUGCCUCCGGGUUAGGACUAACAUCUCGAAAGAGUUGCUAAUACCAAAUAAGAGCACGGUUGCUUCGGCAACAGUGGCCAAAGAGGGGUUUCCCUCGCCUGGAGAUGGGCUCGCGGUCCAUUAGCUUGUUGGUGAGGUAACGGCUCACCAAGGCGAUGAUGGAUAGCUGGUCUGAGAGGAUGAUCAGUCACACUGGAACUGAGACACGGUCCAGACUCCUACGGGAGGCAGCAGUGGGGAAUAUUGCGCAAUGGGCGUAAGCCUGACGCAGCAACGCCGCGUGGGUGAUGAAGGCUUUCGGGUCGUAAAGCCCUGUCAGAGGGGAAGAACAAGCAGAUCAGGAAAUGGAUCUGCCCUGACGGUACCCUCAAAGGAAGCACCGGCUAACUCCGUGCCAGCAGCCGCGGUAACACGGGGGGUGCAAGCGUUGUUCGGAAUCACUGGGCGUAAAGCGCGUGUAGGUGGAUAGUUAAGUCAGAUGUGAAAUCCCAGGGCUCAACCUUGGAAUUGCCUUUGAAACUGGCUGUCUUGAGUGCGGGAGAGGGAACGCGACUUCCCGGUGUAGAGGUGAACUUCGUAGAUAUCGGGAGGA